AUUAUAACAAACGUUAAUUAAUCUGAAAGUACAUCAUGUAAAAAAGUAUCCUGCUUUCAUUGCAGGAUGGUAAACUAUUGCACAUUCGUUGCAUUUUGAUGUCUGACACGUCUAAGAUAAGUGACGAAAUCGCCAUAAGGGAAAAUAUAGCUCUAUGUUUCCUUAGGUUUAAUUAAUAUGCACACUGUCAAAUAGGUUUUCCAUAAAACAACACACAAUAAACUAUGAAGUAACUGUGACAUCUUACGGUGGAGCAAGAAGUGGUAGUAUGUGUUCAUGGUGUUCAUACAAAGUUACAUGGAAUUUACAGAUUUAUACAUGCAUUUUUGCUAUAGAAAACCCAGGGCAUAUCCCUAGCAGAGAGAUUUCAGCUAUGUAGUGUUUUAGAUGCCACCAUGUAAC